rnacentral:lncRNA from 1 species
CUGCCACAGAAUCUCAGGCCAAGGCGGUCGCAAGCCUCCUUCGAAGCUCCAGAGGAGCUGUGAGAGGAGCCAGCGGGCAGCCCCUCCUGCCCUGAGCCUCCUCUGAUGAAAACUGCCCCCUCCCAGAUCCCCAGUCGGAUGAAGGAAACCAUUUAUUGUUUCUGCUCAAAAAUCACUGGUACUGCAGCUUCGCAAGGAUUUCUCCCGCCUUCGUUUCACACACACAGAUUCGCAGCGCUCCGAGCCGAGCCGCUUCCUGGCCACUCCGGGCAGCCGGGCACCUUCCGCGACAGGAUUUCUGAGAGGAAGGGCCUUCUCCAGAGGAUAGCGCGUUUGGAAGCUGGAGACUCCCUGACUCGUGGGACGGGAGAUCGCAUUCUCUAGAAAAUGCUCCGCAGGCUGAAGAGAUGCCGUGGUCUUUCGAGGAGCCGGAGUCUCCAAGGGACAUGCCGAGCGACAAUGACCAUGGUCCAUGGGGAUAGGAAGAGGAAGGAAAACAUCCGCCGUGCCCAGCCCUUUGGCUCUCAGUGCCACGGUGCUUCCCGCAGGUCACAGCCCCUGAAUCCAGCUCGGCUGCGACUGGCUCCCAAGUGCUGUCCUGUGCAGCCUUCGGGGGUGUCCGCCCUCCCGGCCUUCAUGAGCUCUCUGUAGCCUCCUGUCCCGGCAGCCCCUCCCCUGCUCCAGCGGCAGCCCCCGUCCUGGGUGACAGCUCCUCCAACUUUGCAGGUGCCCGGGCUCAAGCAACAGGGAGAAGAGUCCCCAGAGGAGCACUGUCCCUUAACGCAGAGGGGGAGUGCACCUCGGGGGAUUCUAGCUAAAGCAAUAAGCGCUAAGGAGGCCUCUGGUCACACGGCGGCUAGUGGGUGUCUGAGUCUGAAAGCGCGAAGCCAGCCCUGCACAGGAGAGCAUGGUGCCGGCGGAGCUGUCCCAGGAGGGCGUGGGCCUCAGAUCCGCUCUCCCUCAGGUGUUAAAGGGGCGCCCCGUGGCCAGCCCUGGGCUGAGCACCAAGACCCUGCUCCUGAGCCUCUCUCACCCUCCCUGCCAGGUCGUGGCCUCCCCACCCACAGAUGUUGCUGAGUCCUGCCCAGGACACAAGGGCAGAAACCAAGGGGGAAGGAAGGGGUGUGAGGGAGGGGUUGGGGGAGGGGUAGCGACAGGCAGCACCAAGGGGCUGUGGGUACAGCUCCGUGCAGAGCUCUUGCCCAGCAUGCACAAGGCCCUGAGUUCCAUCCCCAGCACCAAAGAAGGACCAGAGGGCGGGGCAGGACCCUAGGCUGCUUGGGGACCAGGAAUGGGGCUGGUCACCUGCCUGCCCUCCCUGGUGUCCAGCUGGGAUCUGACCAGGACAGAGGCCGGAGAGACGACGGCCCCUCCCUCAUUCUGGACAGAUGCCUCCUGGGGUCCUCUUGGGUCCCCCUCUUCCUUGGAGGUGGGGUUGGGGCCAAGCAGCUGUAGGGGACCCCAUGCCCUGCCACUUCUCUGUCUCCAGAAGUUAUCCUUCCCCUGAGGACCUGGGUGGCCUUCAGUGAUAGACUGAGAUGCUGAUGGCUAUGUACCACAAGGGAAGUCCCUCCUGCCCCACAGAGUGCAGUCAGGUGGCCCCCAGAGAGAGGGGCUGCUUUGGAAGACCCCCUUCCUGGUGCCCCAUCCUGCAGCCAGCCGCUUGCUUGACCAGCUGAGACUGUGCGCCAGUCAUUGUGAUUCACAAAAAGGCAUGAUUGGGCCGUGGGGUGCAGGCUCUGGCACCCACUCUGUGAGGAAGCGUGGAGGUAGAGGGAGAACACGCCCCCCCCUACUGAGUGUGGCCUCCGCAAGGUGCAGAAGCUGCAUGUGGGGUGCACAUCAGGAAAAGAUGGGGCAAGGGGAACGAGGACCGGCAGGUGCUAAGGGCCGCUGGCCUUCGGGCUCUUUAGACACACGAUCUCACAACCUGCUGUGAGGAACAGGGUUGUCCCCACUUCAUAGGAAAAGAACCCAAGACUGAGAGAAGCCAGCCACCCAGGAUCCCAGGGUGAGGACGUGGCAGACCAGGAUUUGGACCCCGGUGGCUCUAGCCCCCAGGCCUGUCUCUUUUCCAUUUCUUCCUGUUUCCACGACGGGGAGGUUGGUCACCGUGCCAAGCUAGCUUUGUGGGGUUAGAGGCUCACACAGUGCCGAGGUGCCUUUCAUUGAAAACCCAAGGCACAGUUACCAAGCCGAAAUUAGGCCUGGAAGCCACGGGUGCUUUUUCACUGAGCCACAUCCCCAGCCCUAUUUUAUAUUUUAGUUAGAGACAGGGUCUCACUGAGUUGCUUAGUGCCUCGCUUGAUCCUCCUGCCUCAGUCUCCCCAGCCGCUGGGAUUACAGGCGUGUGCCCCUGCACCUGGUUAUUUUUUUCUUUUGAGACAGGGUCUCUCUGAGUUGCUUAGGGACUUGCUAAGUUGAUGAGGCUGACUCUGAACUUGUGAUCCUCUUGCCUCAGCCUCCCAAAUCACUGGGAUCACAGGUAUGCACCACUGCACCCGGUUCCCUGUGUUUUUCUACAACAAGGGAUUUCAUAAAGCUUUAUUCUAUGGAGAUAAUAAAAACGUUCAUCAAGUUUCUUUUGUAGGAGCAGUAAGAAUUCAGGGUAUGGUGUGUUGGGUUUUCUCAUGUGGCAACUACUCUUAAAUGCACCUCACACAGGCCCCAUUCAUUACCCAGUGUGGCUUUGAUGUUCUCAGUGCAGGAGCCUAUUAUAGUUUUAUGUGAUCUUUGUUGAUGUCGG